AUUCGACAUGAGAUUUGGGAGAUGACACAAAACCAAACCAUAUCAGUCUUUAAAGAGUUAAGUUAAAAUAAGCUCUUUAAAGUGGGCCCUAAUCCAGUAUGACUGGUGUUCUUAUAAGAAGAGGAGAUUUGGUCACAGACAUGGUUGCAUGCAGAAUAAAGACUUUUCGAGGACACACUGAGAAGGCAGCCAUCUGCAAAACAAGGAAAGAGUCCUCAGCAGAAACCAGUCCUGCAGACUCCUUGAUCUUGGACUUCCAGCCACUGCAAUUGAUGUCAAGCUUCAGCACCCUUGCAUCUCUGGAUAAAUGAAAUGUCACCCCAGCUGCCGUCCUUGUUCAGAUCUGUGCAAUAAAGAGCAAAGCAUAAAACCAAGUCAAGGCUUUGAGGGAGUGACCUACAAAAUGCAUAAUGUGAAACAAUGCAAAAGCGAAAGGUGCAAAAUCCCCAUCAAAGAGCUGGAGGCUGACAGAUGCGCCAGUGAUAAUUCCCAUCUUCCAACACAGGAGCACAGCUUCCAUUUUCCAUAACAGAACAACAGCCAGAGCAGCUGGAAGGCAGGGCCGCAUCCCAGACUUCCACCAACAAUGGGAUGAGACUUGACAUCUGGAAUCACAACCACAACAGACCUGAGAGACCCACCAGCUUGAUGACAAGCUUCUUCUUUCAAAGAAAGUUUUAGGCGGUCAUGACCAUGGGAUGCUGGACCAGGAUGGUAAGCUUCAGGAAACAGAAUCUGGAGAAUGCCCAGCUGCUCCCACAGGAAGCAUCAGGGAAGAAGAAGAAGAGGUGUGAAGUCUGCCUUCUGCUCUGCUGGGAUCCCUUUCACAUCUCCUUUGCCUCCAGGCAGUUUUGGUUCCUGGCCAUUUCCAGGUGUGACUCACUCAGGAUGGUAAGCAUCUUCUCUCCUACCCAGAGUAGAGGAUGAAGACCUCAUCUCAGAGGUUGAAGGGAGCUCCAGAGAGAGGUCUCAAACUUCCAGCAUUAACUGCUAAAGAAGCUUCAUGAGCUGCUGGAGAACCUGGGAAAUGACCAAUUAUAGGGACAGAGCUCAAAUACUCUGGGACACUCUAGUAGCUGAGAAAGUUCCAACUCCAGGGUGAUAGAGGACUGCCUGGCAAACCAUCAUCAAAGCAGAAGACCUGAUACUAACAUCACAGGCUAUGGUUUAUUACUGAAGAUCAGUGCUUACACCCUGCCAGAGGUUCAGAAGCAAACUUAUCAUUGUUCUCCCUGGAGAUGUUGGCCCACAUUCUGAAAAGUGUGGUCAGUAGUAGCAACAGAAAGCAAUUGUGCUUGCCAAGCACAAUGUCACUGUCCCCAGCCCUUCCCCCAACACAACCCAGUAGGUGCUUCCUGGCUGCAAACUUGGGAAAGUCACUUGACCUGUCUGAGGUUCCACUUCCUAAUCUGGCCUGGCGAAGAUAAGAAAAACAGUUUAUUUAAAGUGUCUAGCAAAGUGCUUGGACCAAAAUAGGACCUCUGAAAUGGUUAUGGUAGUGCUGUUAAGGUGAUGUUUUAAGUGCUGAUGAGCACAAAGAUGGGUAAGAUAUUCCUUCUGUUAAAAUCUACAGUCUAAUGAGAGAGAACAAGAUGAAUGCACAAUAACUGUCAUUCAGAACAGGAUUAUGAGAAGGUGUGAAUUUCUGUGAAAAAUCAGAACAGGGAGUAAUAUGAUCCCAGGUGAUUGGCAGGGGGUGGGGGUCUGGAUUCAACUGGAGAGGGAGCUGGCAGGGAAGGCUUCCUGGAGGAUGAGAGUUCAACAAGGGGCAGGUGUAGGAUGUGGGUGGCCAAGUGACUGGGCAGAAGGAGCUGCAGAAGUAAGACCCCAAAUCAGGAAGACAAGGGCCUGCUGAGAAACACGAGCUACAAAGUGCAAGUGCAGGAAGAGUUGGGAUGAGAUUAGAAGGGGGUCUGGGGCCAGACUGUGGAAGGCCCAAAUGCCGGGCUAAGGAGUUUGUACUUAAUUCAGUGGUCAACGGGGAGUCAUUGGAGGCUGUUGAGCAGGAGAGUUGCUUUCUUUACAGCUGUGCCAGACUAAAUUAAACCUAAACAGUACUUUAUAGCUGGAAAGGGAAGGCCCAGGAAUAGCUCUUGACUCAGAAACAGGCAUUGGGGAAGGUAAUGAGAAACAGCCGUGACUGAUCAAAGCAGAGAGGUUAAUUAAAUUUGUAAUUAUUGUGAAAGGCCAUUAAAAACCCUAGUUCACUAGAGAUAACUGCUCUAGUGGGGCUUCAAAGACAAACGCUUCUUUUAACCUUGAAUAGGGGGAUGUUUGCUUCUCUGUGGAGGAGAUAUGAUUAAGAUACUUAAUAAAUGGUAGAUAAACAUGCAAAAAAAAAAAAAAAAAA
rnacentral:lncRNA from 1 species